CCAAGAAAUAGAUGAGGUUUCAGCCGUGUGUGAUGAAGAAGUGAUUGAAUGCAUCACAGAACAUGAGUUGUUCUCCAUGCUUUGUCUGCAUAGAAAGCAGCUCGAAAUGCGCUCACGAGUGCUGAGGGCAGACUGCCCUAUCUAUAUGGAGAGAUGUGGAGACGACGAUAGCAGCAUUGACUACAUGCAUCGUGUCCUCCGGUUUACAGCGUACAGGGAAUUUGUGUACUGCAUUUGGGGUGGCCUCGGUAAGGGCAACAGACGCCGAAUUCCAGGCUGUGCCCUAAGGCGGAUACGAGAAGCCUUCCCCUCAACUGCAUACACCCACUUUGCUUGGGUAUAGAGGGAACAACGACCCACUGCUUCCUUGGCUUACAUGGCUUGAGACGGCACUUGUUGCUCCCAUCAUCAUUCUGCAGCACUACCCGGUCGGAGUUGUAGUUGUAGUGCAAGGCAGUGAUUUGUGUCCUUUGAAGAUUAUGUGGUAUAAGAGACUGUUGUAUUACUCAUAAUAUAUUAUAAGAAAUAAACAAUAACACUUUGAAUUAUUA